rnacentral:rRNA from 1 species
GACGUAGGGGGCGAGCGUUGUCCGGAUUCAUUGGGCGUAAAGCGCGCGUAGGCGGCUCGGUCAGUCGGUUGUGAAAACCCGGGGCUCAACCCCGGGCGUGCAUCCGAUACUGCCGGGCUAGAGGUAGGUAGGGGAGAUCGGAAUUCCUGGUGUAGCGGUGAAAUGCGCAGAUAUCAGGAGGAACACCGGUGGCGAAGGCGGAUCUCUGGGCCUUACCUGACGCUCAGGCGCGGAAGCUAGGGGAGCGAACUGG